ACUGAGAUCGCCAGUUCUCCUUGGAACUCCUCACUGCUCUGGGGAAACUGGGGCGACUAUAACAACAUGGUCAGCUGCCUGUACACUCUGUGACCACAUGGCGAGCCGGGCCUUAUUACACACACUGCAUAGGCUGCUGUGUCGGCUGCAUAGAGACAUGAGGUAAACCAUGUAAGAGGUUUCUUUAGCAAGGAACACUCUUACCACCUUUCAAAAAGAGCCAAAUAAGGAUGGGACUUAGAAGCAAGUAACGGUGAGAAGCAUAAAAUCAACCUAUUAACCAUCGUUACCAAUGCAUUCUUAACUUUAGCUGCAAUGUUAGUGUGGAAUUUAUUUAUUUUUUUACUAUCUGUGGCUCCUCGUGAUUAAAUGUAGCGUGCACAUAA